UACAGAGGUCCCGAGCGUUGUUCGGAUUCAUUGGGCGUAAAGGGUGCGUAGGUGGCGCCGUAAGUGGGGUGUGAAAUCCCGGGGCUUAACCCCGGGACUGCAUUCCAUACUGCGGUGCUUGAGGACUGGAGAGGAGACUGGAAUUUACGGUGUAGCGGUGAAAUGCGUAGAUAUCGUAAGGAAGACCAGUGGCGAAGGCGGGUCUCUGGACAGUUCCUGACGCUGAGGCACGAAGGUCAGGGGAGCGAACGGG
rnacentral:rRNA from 1 species